rnacentral:SRP_RNA from 1 species
GCCGGGCGCGGUAGCUCACGCCUGUAAUCCCAGCACUUUGGAGGCCGAGGCAGGUGGAUCACCUGAGGUCAGGAGUUCGAGACCAGCCUGACCAACAUGGUGAAAUCUUGUCUCUA